rnacentral:rRNA from 1 species
UACGUAGGGUGCAAGCGUUAUCCGGAAUUAUUGGGCGUAAAGAGCUCGUAGGCAGUUUGUCGCGUCUGCCGUGAAAGUCCGGGGCUCAACUCCGGAUCUGCGGUGGGUACGGGCAGACUAGAGUGAUGUAGGGGGAGACUGGAAUUCCUGGUGUAGCGGUGAAAUGCGCAGAUAUCAGGAGGAACACCGAUGGCGAAGGCAGGUCUCUGGGCAUUAACUGACGCUGAGGAGCGAAAGCAUGGGGAGCGAACAGG